GCUUCCGGGGGCGGGCGCACUGGUCCCGGAGUCGCCGCUGGGCCUGUCCGCCGGCGUCAUGGUGGAGGAGCAUGUCAGCCGCAUCCGGGAGGAGCUGGACCGUGAGCGGGAGGAACGAAACUACUUCCAGCUGGAGCGGGACAAGAUCCACACCUUCUGGGAGAUCACACGGAGGCAGCUGGAGGAGAAGAAGGCUGAGCUGCGGAACAAAGACCGGGAGAUGGAAGAAGCCGAGGAGAGGCACCAGGUGGAGAUCAAGGUGUACAAGCAGAAAGUGAAGCACCUGCUAUAUGAGCACCAGAACAACCUGACAGAGAUGAAGGCCGAGGGCACCGUAGUCAUGAAGCUGGCACAGAAAGAGCACCGCACACAGGAGGGUGUGCUGCGCAAGGACAUGCGGGCACUGAAGGUGGAGCUCAAGGAGCAGGAGCUGGCCAAUGAGGUGGUGGUGAAGAACCUGCGGCUGAAACACACCGAGGAGAUCACCAGGAUGCGGAAUGAUUUUGAGAGGCAAGUUCGAGAAAUUGAGGCCAAGUAUGAUAAGAAGAUGAAGAUGCUGAGGGACGAGCUCGACUUGCGGAGAAAGACUGAGCUCCACGAAGUAGAGGAGAGGAAGAAUGGCCAGAUCCACACGCUGAUGCAGCGCCACGAGGAGGCCUUCACCGACAUUAAGAACUACUACAACGACAUCACCCUCAACAACCUGGCCCUCAUCAACUCCCUCAAGGAGCAGAUGGAGGACAUGCGGAAGAAGGAGGACCACCUGGAGAGGGAGAUGGCAGAGGUGUCUGUGCAGAACAAGCGCCUGGCAGAACCUCUCCAGAAGGCUCGGGAGGAGAUGAACGAGAUGCAGAAACAGCUCGCAAACUACGAGAGGGACAAGCAGACCCUGCUUUGCACAAAAGCCCGUUUGAAAGUCACGGAGAAAGAGCUGAAAGACCUGCAGUGGGAGCAUGAAGUGUUAGAGCAGCGGUUCACCAAGGUGCAGCAGGAGCGGGACGAGCUCUAUGGGAAGUUCACCGCAGCCAUCCAGGAGGUGCAGCAGAAGACAGGGUUCAAGAACCUCGUGCUAGAACGCAAGCUGCAGGCUCUGAGCGCCGCUGUGGAGAAGAAGGAGGUGCAGUUCAACGAGGUCCUGGCUGCCUCUAACCUGGACCCUGCAGCCCUGACGCUGGUGUCCCGCAAGCUGGAGACCUUUUUCUGCUGACAACCCUGUGUGGAUGGAUGCAUCCAUCAAACCAGGCUGCUAUUCGCUGGAUCUCUCAGAACGCCCACUGGAGUCCCCAGGCCGCUCCCGUUGCCUCGGCC
rnacentral:sRNA from 1 species